AAUUGAAUCAGAUCCAAUUAAUGGUGUCAAAAUUACUUCUUGUUUUCUCAUUUUCUACUCAUAGAAGAUCCAUUCUCCUUUCUCCUUCAUAAUUUUCUAGUUUUUUGUUUUUUUUUAUACUUUAGUACUCGAAAUUCUUGAUUUUUGAUAUUUGGUUUUGGUUGUAUUUGGUUCUAUAAGAGUAUUUCCUUUGUGGGUUUUGUUGUUUGUGAGAUUUAGGGUUGUGGGUAUUGAAUAGAUCAGUUUAUAAUGUCGGCAAUGAAGAGUUCAGGUCAAUUCUUUACAAUUGGGCUAGUAACAGCUUGGUAUUCAUCAAACAUUGGGGUUUUGUUACUGAACAAGUAU
rnacentral:misc_RNA from 1 species